rnacentral:rRNA from 1 species
UACGGGAGGGGCUAGCGUUGUUCGGAAUUACUGGGCGUAAAGGCGUACGUAGGCGGCUUUCGUAAGUUAGUAGGUGAAAAGCCCGGGGCCGUCAACCCCUAGGAAGUUGAGCCUUUUAAAGACUGCAUCGCUUGAACGUCGGAGAGGUGGAGUGGAAUUCCGGAGUUGUGAGAGGUGAAAGUUCGUAAGAUAUUCGGAAGAACACCAGUGGCGAAGGCGG